UAGGAUUAGAUACCCUGGUAGUCCACGCCGUAAAGCGGUGAAGUGCUAGGUGUUAGGGGGUUUCCGCCCCUUAGUGCUGCAGCUAACGCAUUAAGCACUCCGCCUGGGGAGUACGACCGCAAGGUUGAAACUCAAAGGAAUUGACGGGGACCCGCACAAGCUGUGGAGUAUGUGGUUUAAUUCGAAGCAACGCGAAGAACCUUACCAAAUCUUGACAUCCUUUGAAAACUCUAGAGAUAGAGCCUUCCCCUUCUGGGGACAAAGUGACAGGAUGGUGCAUGGUUGUCGUCAGCUCGUGUCG
rnacentral:rRNA from 1 species